UCCAGACUCCUACGGGAGGCAGCAGUGGGGAAUAUUGGGCAAUGGGCGCAAGCCUGACCCAGCAACGCCGCGUGAAGGAAGAAGGCUUUCGGGUUGUAAACUUCUUUUAAGGGGGAAGAGCAGAAGACGGUACCCCUUGAAUAAGCCACGACUAACUACGUGCCAGCAGCCGCGGUAAUACGUAGGGGGCAAGCGUUAUCCGGAUUUACUGGGUGUAAAGGGAGCGUAGGCGGCGAUGCAAGUCAGAAGUGAAAGCCCGGGGCUCAACUCCGGGACUGCUUUUGAAACUGUGUUGCUAGAUUGCAGGAGAGGUAAGUGGAAUUCCUAGUGUAGCGGUGAAAUGCGUAGAUAUUAGGAGGAACACCAGUGGCGAAGGCGGCUUACUGGACUGUAAAUGACGCUGAGGCUCGAAAGCGUGGGGAGCAAACAGGAUUAGAUACCCGCGUAGU
rnacentral:rRNA from 1 species